UACAGAGGGUGCAAGCGUUGUUCGGAAUCAUUGGGCGUAAAGCGCGUGUAGGCGGUCCGGUAAGUCCGCUGUGAAAGUCGAGGGCUCAACCCUCGAAUGCCGGUGGAUACUGUCGGGCUAGAGUACGGAAGAGGCGAGUGGAAUUCCUGGUGUAGCGGUGAAAUGCGCAGAUAUCAGGAGGAACACCAAUUGCGAAGGCAGCUCGCUGGGACGUUACUGACGCUGAGACGCGAAAGCGUGGGGAGCAAACAGG
rnacentral:rRNA from 1 species